CCUACGGGAGGCUGCAAUUAGGAAUCUUGCGCAAUGGGCGAAAGCCUGACGCAGCGACGUCGCGUGACUGAUGAAGUCUUUCGGGAUGUAAAGGUCUUUUUUGGGGGAAGAAGGAUGUGACGGUACCCCAAGAAUAAGCCCCGGCUAACUACGUGCCAGCAGCCGCGGUAAUACGUAGGGGGCGAGCGUUGUCCGAAUUCACUGGGCGUAAAGCGCGCGUAGGCGGACCUUUAAGUCAGGGGUGAAAUGCCGAGGCUCAACCUCGGAACUGCCUGUGAAACUGGGGGUCUUGAGGUAUGGAGAGGGAAGUGGAAUUCCUGGUGUAGCGGUGAAAUGCGUAGAUAUCAGGAGGAACACCUGUGGCGAAGGCGGCUUCCUGGCCAUAUCCUGACGCUGAGGUGCGAAAGCUAGGGGAGCGAACG
rnacentral:rRNA from 1 species